GACGAACGCUGGCGGCGUGCUUAACACAUGCAAGUCGAACGGAAAGGCCUCUUUCGGGGGGUACUCGAGUGGCGAACGGGUGAGUAACAAGUGAGUAACCUGCCCUUGACUUUGGGAUAACUUCAGGAAACUGGGGCUAAUACCGGAUAGGAGCUCCUGCUGCAUGGUGGGGGUUGGAAAGUUUCGGCGGUUGGGGAUGGACUCGCGGCUUAUCAGCUUGUUGGUGGGGUAGUGGCUUACCAAGGCUUUGACGGGUAGCCGGCCUGAGAGGGUGACCGGCCACAUUGGGACUGAGAUACGGCCCAGACUCCUACGGGAGGCAGCAGUGGGGAAUAUUGCACAAUGGGUGGAAGCCUGAUGCAGCAACGCCGUGUGCGGGAUGACGGCCUUCGGGUUGUAAACCGCUUUCGCUCAUGACGAAGCUUUGUGUGACGGUAGUGGGUAAAGAAGCACCGGCUAACUACGU
rnacentral:rRNA from 1 species